GACGAACGCUGGCGGCGUGCCUAAUACAUGCAAGUAGAACGCUGAAGAGAGGAGCUUGCUCUUCUUGGAUGAGUUGCGAACGGGUGAGUAACGCGUAGGUAACCUGCCUUGUAGCGGGGGAUAACUAUUGGAAACGAUAGCUAAUACCGCAUAACAAUGGAUGACACAUGUCAUUUAUUUGAAAGGGGCAAUUGCUCCACUACAAGAUGGACCUGGGUUGUAUUAGCUAGUAGGUGAGGAAAUGGCCCACCUAGGCGACGAUCCAUAGCCGACCUGAGGGGUGAAUGGGCAACAUGGGAAUGGGACAAGGCCCAGACUUCCACGGGAGGCAGCAGGAGGGGAUCUUCGGAAAUGGGGGGAACCCUGAACGAGCAACGCCGCGUGGGUGAAGAAGGGUCUCGGAUCGGAAAGCUCUGUUGUAAGGGGAGAAAGGGCGUGAGAGUGGAAAGUUCACACUGUGACGGUAGCUUAACAGAAAGGGACGGCUAACUACGUG
rnacentral:rRNA from 1 species